rnacentral:rRNA from 1 species
UAACACAUGCAAGUCGAACGAGUACGACCGGAGCUUGCUCUGGUACGGCUAGUGGCAAACGGGUGAGUAACGCGUAGGAACCUACCUAGUAGUAUGGAAUAACCACUGGAAACGGUGGCUAAUACCAUAUACGCCCUUCGGGGGAAAGAUUUAUCGCUAUUAGAUGGGCCUGCGUUGGAUUAGCUUGUUGGUGGGGUAAUGGCCUACCAAGGCGACGAUCCAUAGCUGGUUUGAGAGGAUGAUCAGCCACACUGGGACUGAGACACGGCCCAGACUCCUACGGGAGGCAGCAGUGGGGAAUAUUGCACAAUGGGCGCAAGCCUGAUGCAGCAAUGCCGCGUGCGCGAUGAAGGCCUUAGGGUUGUAAAGCGCUUUCAGUAGGGAAGAUAAUGACGGUACCUACAGAAGAAGCUCCGGGCUAACUCCGUGCCAGCAGCCGCGGUAAUACGGAGGGAGCGAGCGUUGUUCGGAAUCACUGGGCGUAAAGCGCGUGUAGGUGGCUUGUCAAGUUGGGAGUGAAAGCCCAGGGCUUAACCCCUGGAACUGCUUCCAAAACUGACAAGCUUGAGACAGGUAUGGGAUGGCGGAAUUCCUAGUGUAGCGGUGAAAUGCGUAGAUAUUAGGAGGAACACCGGUGGCGAAAGCGGCCAUCUGGGCCUGUUCUGACACUGAGACGCGAAAGCGUGGGGAGCAAACAGGAUUAGAUACCCUGGUAGUCCACGCCGUAAACGAUGAGUGCUAGAUAUCGGGGAUCUUGAAUCUUCGGUGUCGAAGCUAACGCGUUAAGCACUCCGCCUGGGGAGUACGGUCGCAAGACUAAAACUCAAAGGAAUUGACGGGGACCCGCACAAGCGGUGGAGCAUGUGGUUUAAUUCGAUGCAACGCGAAAAACCUUACCAACCCUUGACAUAUGCGUCGCGAGGACCAGAGAUGGACCUCUUCAGUUCGGCUGGACGCAAUACAGGUGUUGCAUGGCUGUCGUCAGCUCGUGUCGUGAGAUGUUGGGUUAAGUCCCGCAACGAGCGCAACCCUCAUCCUUAGUUGCCAGCGGUUCGGCCGGGAACUCUAAGGAAACCGCCGGCGUUAAGCCGGAGGAAGGUGGGGAACGACGUCAAGUCAUCAUGGCCCUUACCGGGUUGGGCUACACACGUGCUACAAUGGUGGUGACAAUGGGCAGCAACCGGGCGACCGGUAGCUAAUCUCCAAAAACCGUCUCAGUUCGGAUUGUUCUCUGCAACUCGAGAGCAUGAAGGCGGAAUCGCUAGUAAUCGCGGAUCAGCAUGCCGCGGUGAAUACGUUCCC